GACGAACGCUGGCGGCGUGCUUAACACAUGCAAGUCGAACGGAAAGGCCCUGCUUGCAGGGUACUCGAGUGGCGAACGGGUGAGUAACACGUGGGUGAUCUGCCCUGCACUUCGGGAUAAGCCUGGGAAACUGGGUCUAAUACCGGAUAGGAGCCAUUUUUAGUGUGAUGGUUGGAAAGUUUUUUCGGUGUAGGAUGAGCUCGCGGCCUAUCAGCUUGUUGGUGGGGUAAUGGCCUACCAAGGCGGCGACGGGUAGCCGGCCUGUGAGGGUGGACGGCCACAUUGGGACUGAGAUACGGCCCAGACUCCUACGGGAGGCAGCAGUGGGGAAUCUUGCACGAUGGGCGCAAGCCUGAUGCAGCGACGCCGCGUGGGGGAUGACGGCCUUAGGGUUGUAAACUCCUUUCGCUAGGGACGAAGCUUUUUGUGACGGUACCUAGAUAAGAAGCACCGGCUAACUACGUG
rnacentral:rRNA from 1 species